rnacentral:rRNA from 1 species
AGAGUUUGAUCAUGGCUCAGGAUGAACGCUAGCGGCAGGCUUAACACAUGCAAGUCGAGGGGUAUAUUUCUUCGGAGAUAGAGACCGGCGCACGGGUGCGUAACGCGUAUGCAAUCUACCUUUCACAGAGGGAUAGCCCAGAGAAAUUUGGAUUAAUACCUCAUAGUAUUAUGAAAUGGCAUCAUUUUAUAAUUAAAGUCACAACGGUGAAAGAUGAGCAUGCGUCCCAUUAGCUAGUUGGUAAGGUAACGGCUUACCAAGGCUACGAUGGGUAGGGGUCCUGAGAGGGAGAUCCCCCACACUGGUACUGAGACACGGACCAGACUCCUACGGGAGGCAGCAGUGAGGAAUAUUGGACAAUGGGCGCAAGCCUGAUCCAGCCAUGCCGCGUGCAGGAUGACGGUCCUAUGGAUUGUAAACUGCUUUUGCACAGGAAGAAACAACUCUACGUGUAGAGUCUUGACGGUACUGUGAGAAUAAGGAUCGGCUAACUCCGUGCCAGCAGCCGCGGUAAUACGGAGGAUCCAAGCGUUAUCCGGAAUCAUUGGGUUUAAAGGGUCCGUAGGCGGUUUAGUAAGUCAGUGGUGAAAGCCCAUCGCUCAACGGUGGAACGGCCAUUGAUACUGCUAGACUUGAAUUAUUAGGAAGUAACUAGAAUAUGUAGUGUAGCGGUGAAAUGCUUAGAGAUUGCAUGGAAUACCAAUUGCGAAGGCAGGUUACUACUAAUGGAUUGACGCUGAUGGACGAAAGCGUGGGUAGCGAACAGGAUUAGAUACCCUAGUAGUCC